rnacentral:rRNA from 1 species
GACGAACGCUGGCGGCGUGCUUAACACAUGCAAGUCGAACGGAAAGGCCCUGCUUUUGUGGGGUGCUCGAUUGGCGAACGGGUGUGUAACACGUGUGUAACCUGCCCUUGACUUUGGGAUAACUUCAUGAAACUGUGGCUAAUACCGGAUAUGAUCUCCUGCUGCUUGGUGGUGGUUGGAAAGUUUCGGCGGUUGGGGAUGGACUCGCGGCUUAUCAGCUUGUUGGUGGGGUAGUGGCUUACCAAGGCUUUGACGGGUAGCCGGACUGAGAGGGUGACCGGACACAUUGGGACUGAGAUACGGCACAGAAUCCUACGGGAGGCAGCAGUGGGGAAUAUUGCACAAUGGGAGGAAGCCUGAUGCAGAAACGCCGCGUGCGGGAUGACGGCCUUCGGGUUGUAAACAGAUUUCGCAUGUGACGAAGCGUGAGUGACGGUAAUGGGUAAAGAAGCAACGGCUAACUACGUG